CACGUAGGGGGCGAGCGUUGUCCGGAUUUAUUGGGCGUAAAGAGCUCGUAGGCGGUUCGGCAAGUCGGGUGUGAAAUUUCGAGGCUCAACCUCGAAACGCCACUCGAUACUGCUGUGACUGGAGUCCGGUAGAGGAGUGCGGAAUUCCUGGUGUAGCGGUGAAAUGCGCAGAUAUCAGGAGGAACACCGGUGGCGAAGGCGGGUCUCUGGGCCGAUACUGACGCUGAGGAGCGAAAGCGUGGGGAGCGAACAGG
rnacentral:rRNA from 1 species